AUUGAACGCUGGCGGCAGGCCUAACACAUGCAAGUCGAGCGGAUGAAGGGACCUUGCUCCUGGAUUCAGCGGCGGACGGGUGAGUAAUGCCUAGGAAUCUGCCUGGUAGUGGGGGAUAACGUCCGGAAACGGGCGCUAAUACCGCAUACGUCCUGAGGGAGAAAGUGGGGGAUCUUCGGACCUCACGCUAUCAGAUGAGCCUAGGUCGGAUUAGCUAGUUGGUGGGGUAAAGGCCUACCAAGGCGACGAUCCGUAACUGGUCUGAGAGGAUGAUCAGUCACACUGGAACUGAGACACGGUCCAGACUCCUACGGGAGGCAGCAGUGGGGAAUAUUGGACAAUGGGCGAAAGCCUGAUCCAGCCAUGCCGCGUGUGUGAAGAAGGUCUUCGGAUUGUAAAGCACUUUAAGUUGGGAGGAAGGGCAGUAAGUUAAUACCUUGCUGUUUUGACGUUACCAACAGAAUAAGCACCGGCUAACUUCGUG
rnacentral:rRNA from 1 species